UACGUAGGGGGCGAGCGUUGUCCGGAGUUACUGGGCGUAAAGCGCACGCAGGCGGUCUGUUAAGUUUGGAGUGACGAGUUGGUGGCUUAACUGCCAAAGUGCUUCGAAAACUGACAGGACUUGAGGGCUUCAGAGGGACACGGAAUUCCGGGUGGAAGUGGUGAAAUGCGUAGAGGAUCCGGAGGAACACCAAAGGCGGAAGGCAGUGUCCUG
rnacentral:rRNA from 1 species